rnacentral:tRNA from 1 species
GGAACUAUGCCUGAAGUCUAAGGACCACUUUGAUAGAGUGAAUCACGGAGGUUAAAAUCCUCCUAGUUCCU